rfam:Felis catus isolate Cinnamon breed Abyssinian chromosome B3, whole genome shotgun sequence.
GCCUGGGUGGCUCAGUAGGUUGGGCAUCUGACUUCAGCUCAGGUCAUGAUCUCACAGCUCGUGGGUUUGAGCCCUGCAUCGGGCU